AGGNAUGUGUGAUCCCAGCAGCUGGGAGGCAGAGGCAGCAGGAUUAGGAGUUCAAGGCAAACCUCUGUCUCCCAGCUGCUGGGAUCACACUAAUAGA
rnacentral:pre_miRNA from 1 species